rnacentral:sRNA from 1 species
UGUUUGGAAUAUUGUGCGUUAUUUGAAUUCCAGCAGUUGUCGCGAUCGGAGGCAUUGAAAACCGUUUGAAAUUCUUGCGUUGAAAAUUUGCUGGUGUUUCAUUCCGUAUAAAGUCGUUCUUUGGCAACGACGUUAAACGUUUCCCCAUAAAUUGAAUAGAAUUUGAAAAGAAGUGGCCGGUCGAGUGAGUUCUCAAGCGAAAAAUAGAGAAAACCCAACACCCAAAAAAAUUCAAACUAACAAUGUUGCCCUUUCGAUGGGGCCUACUGGGAGUAGUGCUAUUUGUCGCCGCUUGUUCGCAUGCAGCCACAAUUACAACGAAUGCCUGCCAGUGCAAGUAAAAUCACAGAGGUUGAAGAAAAAAAUUUAUAUGAGGUGGAUGAUUUUGUGCAUACCCGAAACUGGCUGGCUGCGCCCACCGAUCUCAAUUUUUAGCUGAUCUAAACGUGGUUUUCGAUGGUGUGUCAAACAAAGAUUAGGAUCCUACAAGGGUGUGCAACUUAUUAGUCCUUAUUGGAUUAUUUCAAUUAAUGGAACAAUUUCAA